UAGGGAAUCUUCCGCAAUGGGCGAAAGCCUGACGGAGCAACGCCGCGUGAGUGAAGAAGGAUUUCGGUUCGUAAAGCUCUGUUGUUAGGGAAGAAUGAUUAUGUAGUAACUAUACAUAGUAGAGACGGUACCUAACCAGAAAGCCACGGCUAACUACGUGCCAGCAGCCGCGGUAAUACGUAGGUGGCAAGCGUUGUCCGGAAUUAUUGGGCGUAAAGCGCGCGCAGGUGGUUUAAUAAGUCUGAUGUGAAAGCCCACGGCUCAACCGUGGAGGGUCAUUGGAAACUGUUAAACUUGAGUGCAGGAGAGAAAAGUGGAAUUCCUAGUGUAGCGGUGAAAUGCGUAGAGAUUAGGAGGAACACCAGUGGCGAAGGCGGCUUUUUGGCCUGUAACUGACACUGAGGCGCGAAAGCGUGGGGAGCGAACAGGAUUAGAUACCCUGGUAGUCCACGCCGUAAACGAUGAGUGCUAAGUGUUGGUCUCAUAAGAGAUCAGUGCUGCAGCUAACGCAUUAAGCACUCCGCCUGGGGAGUACGACCGCAAGGUUG
rnacentral:rRNA from 1 species